CCUUCUCUUUACAGCAAGAGACAGCCUGUCCAAGACCAGAACUAGCCAAUCACACACAAGGAAGCUCCCAUUGGUUGUUUGCCUCCACAAAGCAUCUUCUUGAUUCCCUUUGACUAGAUUCAAACCUUGGUGCCUUAUCCAUAUACUAUGCACUCUUCACAUCAUAAAUAGUGACCCAAAUAGUGAAUAGUCAACCUGAAUAGUGACUAGUGAUUCACUAUUCACUUUUACACCAACUUGCCCAAACUUCUCAAAUCUUACUGUGGUAACUCUCUAAAGUUACUGUGGUAACUUUAGAGUUACUGUCUGACCCAAAUCUUCUCUAAAUGGUGUCUAAGUCCCUCCUGGACUUAACCCUAUCUUUGCACACUCAUCAGACCACUUCUGAAGCCUUAAGACUCUCCCAAAGCCUUAACAUACAAUCUCUGAAGAUCUUGCCAUGUCUUUGCACAAGCACCAACUCAACUCAUCACUUUUGCUUCUCCACUUCUUCUCUUCAAGUUAAC
rnacentral:lncRNA from 1 species